AACUUGUUGAAAACUUAAAAUACAACAAAAAUAUUAAGUGUUAAACAAAAUUACUUUAAUUUUAAUUUAAAAAAAUUAUUAAUUAUUAAUUGUUGUCUAUAUAACACAAGAAUUUUUGUUUUUUUUAUUUUCAUAUUUUAUUUUUUUUUUUUUAAAUAAUCCUUUUUGAAGUAUUUACACUUAUAUGUAUAUACAAAUAUAUAAAAUAUAUUUUGUUGAACUUUCUUAUAUCAAUCUUUUUUAUUCUUAAAAAAUAAAAAAUUUGCUUUAAAUAUAUAUAUAUACAUAUAUCAAGAUGAUGAAAUCCAUUUAUGCCUUAUUUUUGCUGGCAAUCGCGACUUGUUCGAUCACUUCGGCUAGAAAAUCAUUAGAAAAGUUAAAAGGUCAAAAUGGAGCAACUUUAACACCUUUUACUACCGAUUUUUUAGAUAUCGAUGAAGAAAAUGCUGAGGAACCAUUUACAUUUUUGCAUGAAUAUGAUGCACAUUUAAGUGGAACGAGACACCAUCCCGAUAAACUUGGUUUUUUACAAACAUCAUCAUAUUUACAAAAUUUGAUGCAUGAUAAAGAACGUGAAUACUUAGGUGAUGAUAAAAUGUAUAUAGUAACAGGAAAGGUCACAGGUUUGGUUACUGAUAAACCAUUAAUUAUUGCUAUAGGAGCACGUUAUGCUAAUCCAUUUGACUUUUUAUAUACUACAACUAUAACUACUGAAAAUCCAACUUUCAAAUUUGAACUUACUAGAGGUAUGUAUUACCUACGUACCUAUGGUGAUAACUAUUUGACACCUAGCGCUAUAAAAUUAAACGUUCCGUGCGCUGAUUGUAAUUUUGUAAAUCCAGACUUUAAGAAUUCAAUCAAAGUAGAAUAUACUGAAGGUGAUAAAAACAAGUUUGUAUUUGAAUAUGAGUUACAAAAGGCAUCUUCUGUUGCUUUGGAACAUAUUAAUACAACUCAUAAGGAUCAAGAAGACUUCGAACACAAUAUUAGUUUAGAUAGCAAUUUAGAACUAGAUGUCUCUGGUGCAGCAGCAACAUUAAAAACUUUUUAUGGUAUUGAACUUGUAGGAGUAUGGGGUUUUGAAUAUGCAGAGAGAUUAUUAAGCGUGUUGAGUUCUUUCCCAGAGUGUAUUAAAUUAAAUAGCUAUGACAAAGGAAUAAGAGAUUCACAAAGAAAGCAUCAAAGAUGGAUUUUGUCAGACGAGGAUUUAGGAGCAUUCGACCUGGAAAUAGUGAAAAAUCAUGAAGAAAAUUCUGAUGAACAUAAUUUAGAUAAACUUUAUUCCAAAACUGUUAAAAUUUCAAAACAUGCAUUUUCUUUUUCUAGAAAAUAUGUAAAAGAUUUAAAAAAAAAUGGAACAUAUUUUUCAAGACGAUUAGAAAAACUUGUUAUAAGAUUAUUAUUAGCAAAUGAUUAUAAAUUAUUUAAGACCUAUUUUAAACAAAAACACGGUGUUAUUUUAUUAGACCCAUUAACAGAUCCAGGGUUAUUAGAAAAAAUAACCGGAUAUUCAUCAGAAGAAUACCAACCAUGGAAUCAUAAUGUCGAAGAAAUGAUUGAACUAGCUACAUCAUGGGAUGAAUACCCAAAAGGACUUCAAACAGUCAAAGGUUUAGGUUAUUUAUCUAGAAGAAAAAAUGGAUUAAAACACCCUAGAUAUCCUACUGCUCCUGCUGUAGCAUUUCCCGCUGGUCAAAGUGUUGACUCAUUCAUAGAAUUUAUGGAAUCAGCAUUUGUUAAUUAUUAUGAUGUAUCCCAUUUAAUUAUUCAUGAAGUAGGUCAUUUUAUUUUUUGUAAUAUGUUAUCAGGUGAAUUAAAAAACGAAUGGGUAAAACUAGGAGAAUGGUAUGAAGAUGAAAAUUCAGGAACCAACUGGGCCACCAGAAACGAAACGCAAUUUGUUUCUGCUUAUGCACACGACAAAACACCAGAAGAAGAUUUCGCUGAAUCAAUAGCUGCUUUUGUUUUAAAUUCAAAAUUAUUAAAUUCGAGAAGUGAAAUGAAAUAUGAAUGGAUAAAAAAAAAUUUAUUCGGUGGCAGUUUUUACGUUAGCUCAGGAACGCAUAUGUUUAGUGUUAUAAAUUUGGGUAACGGUGUUUAUUAUUAUCCUGGUAAAGUACAUAAAGUUAAAGCAGUUGUUUUAGGUGCUCCAAAUGAAGAUAAAAAAGUCCGAAUAGAUAUUACUUUAUUAGCAGAUAAGAAAGGGUCAGAGGAUGGCUGUGCAAUAUAUGCUUAUUCAAGAUUUGUUUCGGAACAAUUAACUUUUAAGGAUAUUUAUUUUAAAACAUCAGAUAAUUCGACUUGUAGUCAUACUUUAUAUGCUGAGUUUGAAAUGAACAAAAAUGAAAGUAAAGGUAGAUGGGUAUUUGAAUCUUUAACAUUUGUAGGUUUAAAUAAUAUACAAAGACACUUAGGUGUAGGCUCUUUUGUACUAUAUUUUUAUGUAAAUAAUACUUUGGAAGAUAUUGAAGCACCACAACCAUUAAUGGAUUCAGUUAUGGUUUACAAUUAUAACAGUGAUGGUAUAGGUGAUGCUUUAAUAAGAUUAAAUAUGUUAUUGUUAGAGGACAACAAAUUAAAGGAGCAUGGUGGUUCAUAUCUUAGCGUCGCAUCAGCUAAAGGUAAUACUUAUUCAUUUAGUAAUUAUACUUAUGAAGUUUAUGAUCCAGAAAUGGAUGUGUCAAAAAUUAAUACUGAUUAUUUCAUAUCAAAUCCAUCUACAAACGGUUAUAGACAAGUUGGUAUGGAAGCAUGUAAACAAUAUACAACUGAUGACAUAUCUAACUUAAAAUGUUUUCAAAUUAUUAACACAUUACAUAUACCUAAACAUUGUGCUAGUGGUAAAUAUUAUGUUAGACAAAUUGGAUUAAUCGAUGAGGCAGGAAAUGAAAAUACUACAAAUAUUCCAAAAAAUAUAUUUUCCGCAUAUCUUCAUCCCAUGGGAUAUAUAGAUACACAAGCACCAGUUAUAAGUAAUGUUAGAGUAACAAGUAAACCUGCUAAUGAUCAAAGUGAUGGUGAAACAAUAGUCAAUGUUGAUUUCGUAGCUGAAGAUUACAUAUCAAAAAUUAUAUCUAUUAAUAUCACUUUGAGAGAUCCAAAUGGUGGUCAUCAUACAACUAAUUUGGAACAUCAUGAAUUACCAAGUGGUACUGAACGCAAAUUUUACAAUUACCAAAUAUUAUUACCUAAAGGUUCAAUGGGUGGAACCUGGUUUCUCCAUGAAAUUAAAGCGAGUGACGCUUGUCGAAACGAAUCGAAAAAUAUUUACACAUAUACUGUAUAUGUAGAUAAACAAUAAACGCAUUCCGUUACAUAUGCGUAAUAUAAUGGAAAGUAUAACAUAAAAUAAAGUAAAAAGCGGUCAAGAUAAAAAAAAAAAA
rnacentral:lncRNA from 1 species